rnacentral:rRNA from 1 species
GAUGAACGCUGGCGGCGUGCCUAAUACAUGCAAGUCGAGCGAACAGAUGAGGAGCUUGCUCCUCUGACGUUAGCGGCGGACGGGUGAGUAACACGUGGAUAACCUACCUAUAAGACUGGGAUAACUUCGGGAAACCGGAGCUAAUACCGGAUAAUAUAUUGAACCGCAUGGUUCAAUAGUGGGAGACGGUUUUGCUGUCACUUAUAGAUGGAUCCGCGCCGCAUUAGCUAGUUGGUAAGGUAACGGCUUACCAAGGCAACGAUGCAUAGCCGACCUGAGAGGGUGGUCGGCCACACUGGAGCUGAGGCACGGUCCAGAGUCCUACGGGAGCGCGCAGUAGGGGAGCGUCCGCAAUGGGCGGAAGCAUGACGGAGCAAAGCCGCGUGAGUGAUGAAGGUCUUCGGAUCGUAAGGCUCUGUGAUUGGGGGAGAACAAAUGUGUAAGUAACUGUGCACAUCUUGACGGUACCUAAUCAGAAAGCCACGGCUAACUACGUG